rnacentral:lncRNA from 1 species
UACUCUAGAAGUUUCUAAAUAAUACAGGAACGUGAAACAGGACUAUUGUUUAGAACGCACCAUGUUUAAAGGUUAGAAAUCUGAAAAUGAAAAGUCUAAAUUAGGAUUUUCUCUUUGGAUUUUGUUGUUAAAAACAUUGAUUGAACAAAAUGACAAAGCUUAAAUAAACAAGUAAGUAAUGAUCACCAAACAGUAGGAAGAUGUUUCCUCGGAGAAGAAAG